rfam:Schizosaccharomyces japonicus yFS275 unplaced genomic scaffold supercont5.1, whole genome shotgun sequence.
GGUUGUAUGGUGUAACGGUUAGCACGCGAGAUUCUGAUUCUCGAGACCUGGGUUCGAUCCCAGUACGACCU